rnacentral:rRNA from 1 species
AGCAGCCGCGGUAAUUCCAGCUCCAAUAGCGUAUAUUAAAGUUGUUGCAGUUAAAAAGCUCGUAGUUGGAUCUCAGGGUGAGCUCAGUUGGUCGGCCUAAUUGGUCAGAACUGGCUGACUCUCCCUUGUUUCUGAAUCCCGGUCGGAGUUAAUUCUUCGUUCGUGGACUUCAGAUCGUUUACCUUGAAAAAAUUAGAGUGUUCAAAGCGGGCGUUUGCUUGAAUACAUUAGCAUGGAAUAAUGGAAUAGGACCCUGGUCUUAUUUUGUUGGUUUUGAGGACCAGAGUAAUGAUUAAUAGGGAUAGUUGGGGGCAUUCAUAUUUAAUUGUCAGAGGUGAAAUUCUUGGAUUUAUGAAAGAUGAACUUCUGCGAAAGCAUUUGCCAAGGAUGUUUUCAUUAAUCAAGAACGAAAGUUAGGGGAUCGAAGACGAUCAGAUACCGUCGUAGUCUUAACCAUAAACUAUGCCGACUAGGGAUUGGGAGCGGUUUGUUCAUUGACCCUCUCAGCACCUUACGAGAAAUCAAAGUUUUUGGGUUCCGGGGGGAGUAUGGUCGCAAGGCUGAAACUUAAAGGAAUUGACGGAGGGGCACCACCAGGAGUGGAGCCUGCGGCUUAAUUUGACUCAACACG